GUCCACGCCGUAAACGAUGAGCACUAGGUGUUGCGGGUAUUGACCCCUGCAGUGCCGACGCUAACGCAUUAAGUGCUCCGCCUGGGGAGUACGGCCGCAAGGCUAAAACUCAAAGGAAUUGACGGGGGCCCCGCACAAGCGGUGGAGUAUGUGGUUUAAUUCGACGCAACGCGCAGAACCUUACCCGGGUUUGACAUCGAGGUAACACUCCCAGAAACGGGGGUGGCCCCUUCGGGGGACCAAAGACAGGUGCUGCAUGGCUGUCGU
rnacentral:rRNA from 1 species